AAUAUUGGACAAUGGGCGAAAGCCUGAUCCAGCCAUGCCGCGUGUGUGAAGAAGGUCUUCGGAUUGUAAAGCACUUUAAGUGGGGAGGAAGGGUUGUAGGUUAAUACCCUGCAAUUUUGACGUUACCAACAGAAUAAGCACCGCAUAACUUCGUGCCAGCAGCCGCGGGAAUCCGAAGGUUGCAAUCGUUAAUCGAAAUUACUGGGCGUAAAGCGAGCGUAAGUGGUUUGUUAAGUUAGAACAGUAAGACCCGGGCUCAACCUGGGAACUGCUUUCAAAACGAGCAAGCUAGAGUAUGUCAGAUGGAGGUGGAAUUUCCUGGGUAGCGGUGAAAUGCGUAGAUAUAGGAAGGAACACCAGUGGCGAAGGCGACCACCUGGACUGAUACUGACACUGAGGUGCGAAAGCAUGGGGAGCAAACAGG
rnacentral:rRNA from 1 species